rnacentral:rRNA from 1 species
GUGGGUUAGUCCGCACGAGCGCACCCUGUCCUUAGUUGCCAGCACAUAAUGGUGGGGACUCUAAGGAGACUGCCUGGGAUAACCAGGAGGAAGGUGGGGAUGAUGUCAAGUCAGUAUGUCCCUUAUGUCCAGGGCUACACACGUGUUACAAUGGCCGGUACAAUGGGCUGCGAACCUGCGAGGGUAAGCCAAUCCCAAAAAACCGGCCCCAGUUCAGAUUGGAGUCUGCAACUCGACUCCAUGAGGGUGGAAUCGCUAGUAAUCGCGGAUCAGCACGCCGCGGUGAAUACGUUCCCGGGUCUUGUACACACCGCCCGUCAAGCCAUGGAAGUCGGCAGUACCCGAAGCCGGUGUCCCAACUCUUCGGAGAGGGAGCCGUAGAAGGUAAGGCUGGUAACUAGGGCUAAGUCGUAACAAGGUAGCCGUACCGGAAGGUGCGGCUGGAUCACCUCCUUUCU